rnacentral:lncRNA from 1 species
AUCUCUUUUCACAUAGAACACAGGGGUUUUCAAUCACAGAAGUUAAGUUGUUCUCCAGAAUCAGUUCUCCUCUAUAGAAAGGUCAAAAC